AAAUGUUGGGCCCUUCUGCUAUAGAAGUAACCCCCAACAGAAAAAUCUAGGCUGUCCAGUGUAGUGAGGGUAGUGUGUGAGGCUGAUAAUUUCACUGUAUAAAAGCAGUUGUUGUGUAGGCUGUUAUGAAUUAUUGAUAUAAAUCUGAAUAUCAACUUGGCACACAGAACAAGGUUAAAGAUUAUGCAGGAUUUGAGGUUCUCAUAGGUGGUUACGAAGAGUUCUCUCUUUUCGGAUGUAAUGUGUGAAGUAUGCUGAAAAUUAACCUGACAUUUCAGAGGAAACUUGCAACCUGCUUCACGCUUGUUCCCCCCUUCAUUCUUUGACCCCAAAGAUGAGGAUUAUACAUGUUCCUACAAAAGUUGGUUGAUUUUCAGCAUACUGCGCAGUGUUUUUUCCCAGAAGAUAGACCUCUUGAUAUAUAAAUACAAAAGUAGAAGUACUGAAAGUGAAUAGCUGGUGUCUGGAGAUGUUGGGGAGGGAGGUCCAGAUAAAGUUGGCACAGGAGGCUAAGACUCAAGUCAGGUUGUUCAGCCAAGAAGAACACAAAGCACUGGUAUUUUGUUAGUGGUUUGUUUUUGAGUGCUUCCAUUGUCACGUGGUAUGAUGAUAGAUGAACUGGAAAUGAUUUGGAAGGAAGUGGUCAUUACCUAAUUGCUGUACUAUCCUGGUAUGGUGUGGAGAGACUGAGGAAAACCACUAAAACCUUGGUCAGAAUAGUUUGUGUUAGUCAAGUUAUGAACUGAGUAUCUCCUGAAUACAAGCCUAAAGCAGUGCUGUUGGUAUUGAUUGUGUUCUGAGGGAACUAUUGGUGUUCCAGGUUCUGCAACGUAAUGGUGCCUGUGUGUGAACUGGUUGUCUUCAGAAGUGCUGCAGAAGAUGGGCCAUUUUGAAGUGUCAGUCAAGCCAUGUGAUGAAGGGUGCAGUUAUCUCCUUCCUGUUGGUAGUGAUGGCAGCACAUAUCAAGUCGGAAUCCAGAACACGAAGGAAGCUGUAGAAUCACAUGUCAUGGACUGGCUAUUGGCCUGAUCGGAGCUCCAGGUGCAACAGGUUAUGGUGAUGUGUUCCAUUGCAUUUCCUUCCCUGCCACAGCUACAUCAUUGUUUUGAUGUUCAGUCUUAAAAAUGCACCAGACAUAAGAUUACAUCACAUCAUGUAAGCAGAAUAAUAGAACUGAUAUAAAUACAGGUUCUGGGGUCCAGUGUCAUGCAACCAGAGGGCAGCUGCCUGCAUGUUACUUGUAAUUUAGCCCUGCAGCAUGUUCCUCUGAAACACUGGUAGCCACCAGCAGAACUACACGGUCUCAUAGCCCAGAAGAGCUCAGUGUUUAUAAAUAAUGUUUUUGUUGUGGUGAAAAGUUAUUGAAAGACACUGUAAAAAUUAUGUACCCCUAAACAACAGACCAACGACCCGAAAUUAACAAAUUUGAGCAUGUGAUGGAUAGGAAGGAUAUUAAUGCAUGUCUGCAAUGAAUGAAAAUGGGAAAUGUAGAAGAAAGCAGAUUUGCAAAGAACACAUUUGGGAAAUAUGUAUACUGCACUGUUACUGGAAGAUGUGAGAUUUAUAUUCUGUCUCAAUAAAUUCUGUCCUACUGUAGGCUGUUCACAGUUUGAUGUCUGUGUCUCUGGUAUAACCCACCCUCCAUAUAGCCCUGUUCUCUCUUGCUGUGUGUCUAUUUACGUUUGUAUCAACACUGUGUUUCCAGAAAUGUUACUUCCUUCAUCAGAUCUACAAAUCCAGUCUCCCCUCAAAAUAAUUAUGCACAGUGAAAUCCUGAUCUCGAGGAACAGAUCACACAAGUGGACCUGGCUACAGGACCAGUUCUCCCCUUGUAGGUGUGUAGUGUGCUUGAAGCUGGAUGGUUUCCACAGUGGACACUGACUUUUGUUCUUGCAUCCAGGAUUUGUAUAUUGGCAGAGUGUGAGCUGUAUCAGUGAAGAAAAUCUGUGUCGAGUUUGUGGGUGAGCUAGGAUUGUGCAUCAUCUGGCUCUUCAGCUGUGCACCAACUAUGAGGAGCCCCUAUACCACAUGCCAGAUAGUAGUCCAUGCUGGACAAGUGUGUGUGCAGGGCACUUCCAAGAUGGUGCAGUCUGUGGAUGCAAGAAUUCCACAACCAGAGGAGUUUGUGCACACACUGGGAAAGUGUGUGGCUUCCACACAAGAUCAGCAUUUACUGGAGGUCAUAGUGUGAUGGCAUUUGAAAAUGUUGUCCUUCUGCUGCUAUGUAUCUGUCUCUUGUAGAAGACUGCCAGCCUCACUGCCAUUCAUGACCUGAUUUUAUAUAAAAUGUGGUAGCCUUAAUGUCUCACAACCCUAUGGGCCUCCAUAGCCUGUUACAGAGAUAGCUUUACUUUUUAUGCAGCUGUUUCUUGCUUUUUAUAUUCAGUGUCCAGUUUACUUCUGAAUGUGCUGUUACACGUGUAUUGUGGUUAGUGAAGGGAAGGCACUUAGGUUAGAAGAGUGAGCAGUUGCUGCAGCCCCUAAUCUUGCUGACUGUGGUGUAGAUUAGAAAUGUAAACCCUGCAGUUGGUUGAGAUUCUGUUACUAGUGUUUAGGACCAUUUUGAAUAUAGUACAGAGUAGUACACGACAUUGGUGUGUUAUAAAAAUUGACAUGUUACAGUCUAAUGUGGAACAUUUCACUCUCUUGUGUAGCAUACUGUGUGUUCAGUAUAUUUUCAUGUGUCACAGUGACUAAAGAUGGGGUUCAAGUUGGAUCUGUUAACCACCUCGAGAUCGUAAGUAAAUUAAUUAUUGCACUAUUGCUGCUUUACACAAUUUGCAAUCACUCCACACUAAAAUCUUCCUUUUAUCUAAACUAGUCUUCACAGAUUUCUAACACAAGAACCAUAACAGCCUCACUCAAUUACACACUCCAAAUAUUACACAUAAAUAAAUUGUUCACAGACCGACUUCUAAUUCUUCCAUGAUAUGUAUG